rnacentral:rRNA from 1 species
GACGAACGCUGGCGGCGUGCUUAACACAUGCAAGUCGAACGAAAAGAGGGAAAGAGCUUGCUCUUCCCGGAAUUGAGUGGCAAACGGGUGAGUAACACGUAAACAACCUGCCUUCAGGAUGGGGGCAACAGACGGAAACGACUGCUAAUACCGAAUAAGUUCCAAGAGCCGCAUGGCCCAUGGAAGAAAAGGUGGCCUCUACCUGUAAGCUAUCGCCUGAAGAGGGGUUUGCGUCUGAUUAGCUGGUUGGAGGGGUAACGGCCCACCAAGGCGACGAUCAGUAGCCGGUCUGAGAGGAUGAACGGCCACACUGGAACUGAGACACGGUCCAGACUCCUACGGGAGGCAGCAGUGGGGAAUCUUCCGCAAUGGGCGAAAGCCUGACGGAGCAACGCCGCGUGAGUGAUGACGGCCUUCGGGUUGUAAAACUCUGUGAUCCGGGACGAAAAGGCAGAGUGCGAAGAACAAACUGCAUUGACGGUACCGGAAAAGCAAGCCACGGCUAACUACGUG